rnacentral:tRNA from 1 species
GGAGAGGUGGCAGAGUGGUCUAAUGCGCUCGACUUGAAAUCGAGUGAAGGGAAACCUUCCGAGAGUUCGAAUCUCUCCCUCUCCG